UUUCAACUUAAGUGUGUUGUCCAAGAUGACAUUUGUUAAUGUAUUUUAAAUGUGCUUAGUCUUUAAUAAAUACUGUGUGCAUUAAUACACUUGAAAUUUAUUUUUCUGAAUUUCAAAACACUUGCUUAUACAGUGUAUAAUCCUGUACAACUUAUUGUUGAAAUUUUUAUCACCAGCUCCUGCUCUAAACUCGACUAGUGUCAGUUUUCUACAUAAUAUUUGACAUAAAAUGUUUUUUUUUUUUUUUUACGGAGUGCUGUAUUUGUGAUACUUAAUGCAACAGUGCUGUACUUUACAUAUCUGUAUAAUACUUAUAAUAUCAUUGUUGUUCUAAGUUGAUUAAACCUAUUUAAUUGCAAGCAAAAGUUUAACAGAUCUAAAAAAUAAUUUGAAUUCAUAUUCAGUUAAAAUACAUUUAAUUUUAAUCAGACUAAACUAUAAAAUAAUUGAAUUUCAGUUAGGUGAAUGAGUCAAGUUCUGUAAACUUACAGUCUAACUACAACAAUGAAUUAGAAAAACUUCCAACUUGAACAAAUUUAAUCAUGCGCAUGCGCCACAAUACUACGUCAUGACGGCGCAUUACUUCACCAGAGUUUGAAAAAUGCACCUUCAGCCAUCUUUCUGUGAUCGCGAUGCGCGAGGCAACUUUGCUGAUCAAAGAAGAAAACAAAGGAGCGCACGUUUGGAUGACUACAGAUGAGACGUUAUGUAUUACAAAUAAGAUCAGUACAGAUUUGUUAUUGGAGAUACAGUGCAAGCUGUGUGGAAUCAAAGACCUGUAUGUAUUGAUGAGGCCAGUGUCAGUGAAGAUGGUGUGGUCACUGGAAUCCUGGUGUUUGUGGGAAAUGUGAAGGAGCUUCUCCCAGGAUUCUACAACAGUGUUGUCCUGAUGACUGAGGUAUUUAUUUUUUUUACUUUCUUGCCUCUUUGGAACAUGUUCAUUUAUGCAUACUGUGUAGAGGUGGUUCGCAGCUUCAUGGACA